GCAAGCUUGGCCCGGACUGUGGGAAAACCCUGGGGCCUUCCUCACUCUUGUUCCAUGGCUGCCAGAAAGCUGUGUUUGCCUUCCUGUAGUGAUUCAAGGGAAGCACUCUCCUAAGGCUUACAUGUGGGGCAGGAAGACCUGGAUGGUGGCACUUGGCACCAGGACUGCAGAAAUGGAUCACCUCUUCCUACAUUCUCUGGCCAGGCAGCAUGAGCCGUGCUUGCUAACCUGCUUGCAGGGUCCUUUAUAACCUCUCCUCUCA